rnacentral:rRNA from 1 species
UACGGAGGGGGCUAGCGUUGUUCGGAAUUACUGGGCGUAAAGCGCACGCAGGCGGUCUUCCAAGUCAGAGGUGAAAUCCCCAGGCUCAACCUGGGAAUUGCCUUUGAGACUGUUAGACUAGAGGUCGGGAGAGGGUAGUGGAAUUCCCAGUGUAGAGGUGAAAUUCGUAGAUAUUGGGAAGAACACCAGUGGCGAAGGCGGCUACCUGGACCGAUACUGACGCUGAGGUGCGAAAGCGUGGGGAGCAAAC